rnacentral:pre_miRNA from 8 species
AAUCUCCAGUCUUCGCACCCAUUCAUUCAUGGGUGGGGAUUUGUUGCACUGCUUGUGUUAUAUAUAAAGUAUUGCACUUGUCCCGGCCUGUGGAAGAAAUGAGGAAUUUAUCAUCUUCUUU